GAAAUGCGAUAAGUAAUGUGAAUUGCAGAAUUCGGUGAAUCAUCGAAUCUUUGAACGCACAUUGCGCCCGCCAGUAUUCUGGCGGGCAUGCCUGUUCGAGCGUCAUUUCAACCAUCAAGCCCCCGGGCUUGUGUUGGGGACCUGCGGCUGCCCGCAGGCCCUGAAAACCAGUGGCGGGCUCGCUGUCACACCGAGCGUAGUAGCAAUCACCUCGCUCAGGGCGUGCUGCGGGUUCCGGCCGUUAAACAGCCUUACAAAACCCAAGGUUGACCUCGGAUCAGGUAGGAAGACCCGCUGAACUUAAGC
rnacentral:misc_RNA from 1 species